UACGAAGGGGGCAAGCGUUGUUCGGAUUUACUGGGCGUAAAGGGCGCGUAGGCGGAUCUGCAAGUCAGAGGUGAAAGCCCUGGGCUCAACCCGGGAAUUGCCUUUGAGACUGUUGGUCUUGAGUAUGGGAGAGGGUGGCGGAAUACCCAGUGUAGAGGUGAAAUUCGUAGAUAUUGGGUAGAACACCGGUGGCGAAGGCGGCCACCUGGCCCAUAACUGACGCUGAGGCGCGAAAGCGUGGGGAGCAAACAGG
rnacentral:rRNA from 1 species